AAGGUGGGGAUGACGUCAAAUCAUCAUGGCCUUUAUGCCUAGGGCUACACACGUGCUACAAUGGCCAGAACAGAGGGUUGCGAAGCUGUGAGGUGGAGCUAAUCCCAUAAAUCUGGUCCCAGUUCGGAUUGGAGUCUGCAACUCGACUCCAUGAAGGUGGAAUCGCUAGUAAUCGCGCAUCAGCCAUGGCGCGGUGAAUACGUUCCCGGACCUUGUACACACCGCCUGUCAAGCCAUGGAAGCUGGGGGUACCUAAAGAUGGUGACUUUACGGGGAGCUAUCUAGGGUAAGAG
rnacentral:rRNA from 1 species